GGGCAAUGAGGAUACUAUUUUCAGGAAUUAACUGUCUGUAAAUAUAUACGCUAUUCUGAGCCCCGU
rnacentral:snoRNA from 1 species